UACGUAGGGUGCGAGCGUUGUCCGGAAUUACUGGGCGUAAAGAGCUCGUAGGUGGUUUGUCGCGUUGUUCGUGAAAACUCACAGCUCAACUGUGGGCGUGCGGGCGAUACGGGGCAGACUGGAGUACUGCAGGGGGAGACUGGAAUUCCUGGUGUAGCGGUGGAAUGCGCAGAUAUCAGGAAGAACACCGGUGGCGAAGGCGGGUCUCUGGGCCGGAACUGGACGCUGGAGGAGCGAA
rnacentral:rRNA from 1 species